AGGAACCGCCAUGGGCAUAACCGCAGUAUAUAAAUGAUGCUGACAACGGAUCAGGAUUUUUCAGGUUUCUGUGUCUCGCUGGUUUGCUCAGUGCUCGGGUUAGAGGAUUAGGACUCGGGAGUCACUGGCCGCAUGCUGGAGGCUGGAGCCAACGGGAGCGCGGCUCGCCUCGCUGCGGUUGUUGGCAGCGACUGAGAUAGCAGCCGCCUGAAGCGAUCUAUUUGAAGAAUUCAAAGAAUCUAUGGAAGAUGGCUCAGCUUGCUGUGAAGCAAAGAAACCAGGGACCUUCUCCAGAACCUCUGAAGUUGAUGUUAGGUCCAGCUAAUAUUUGUCCUCUAAAAAGAAAGUGGAAUUCUCUCUCAGUUAUACUAGUGCUCGAUUCUAGUAGCUACCCUAAAGAAUGUGGAGAAAAAGAGAUGAGUCUUUCUGAUUGAAUAGAAGUGGAUCAUUUCCAUUAGAACAGCUUCAAAGCUUCCCCCAACUUUUACGGAACAUCCAUUUCUUAGAGAUACUUAACUGCUGAUCAGUUGUUCUGUCAUUGGCAGCUGCCUUCUCAGAUGGGCUCAGUGCUAAACAACUCUCUGCUGCUUCACUACAUUAACUGUGUAACAGAUGAGCCAGUCUUGCUGAGGUCUUAUUAGUGGUUGAGUCAAACAUUACAAGAAGGUAAGAGUUGCGUGAGGAUGGGACAAGAUAGUUUACAAAUGGGUUUCUUUUGUAAGGGUGCUAAAUUCUAGACAAGAAGAGCCUUCCUAUGCUGUAAUUAUGUCUGUGGUAAUCAUAUAUUUAGAGCAUGAAUGUUUCUGUUGUAAUUUCAAGGCAGUAAGAAAAGAGAUGGAUUUUGUUAAGGAAGCACUGCUGGAUGCCACCAAGACUCACUGGGUGCCUCUACUUUGAUGACUAUCUAUCUGUCUGUGGUAAUCAUAUAUUUAGAGCAUGAAUGUUUCUGUUGUAAUUUCAAGGCAGUAGGAAGGGAGAGGGAUUUUGUUCAGGAAACACUGCUGGAUGGGUGACCACCAAGACUCACUGGGUGCCGUUCAGGAAACACUGCUGGAUGGAUGCCACCAAGACUCACUGGGUGCCUCUACUUUGAUGACUGUCGCAAUCCAAGGAUUCUUCAUCUUUGUAUGUCCAGAAACUUAAUGUGAGGCCCCCAGAGUCAUCCCGUUAAUGAAUGUAUUUGGUACAAGGUGAAUAAUUAUGAACAUGGAAAACAAUUUACCAACUUCCUGGAUACUAUCACCAGGGCAGAGUCCUUCUUACAAGAGGGGUUUCAUUCCUGUGAAGCAUUCCUGUUUAAGAGCCUUCCUUCUGGGAUGGCCUCUAUUGUUGGUCACAGAUCCUUCAGCUUGUGAGCUGGAUUCUUUUAAGUAGCUUCUCUGAGGUGAAACCACUUCUUUUUGAUCGCCUAGCACAGCUCUUCUUUUACAUCAAUGAUUUAUUUCAAGCAAAUACUAGCUGUGGGCUGCCUCUAAAAAUACUGCAGAAGACACAUACCUGUGGCACCAGCUUGGUGAUACUGGUGUCUUCUCCAGGGGGAUCAAGCAGCUCUACCACUCGCUCUCCUUUUGGUGGAACAAAUGGUUUGUGAUCUUUGAAAAGCACGUGCUAGGACUCUGUGAACAACAUGUUAUGGACGUGCUCAAAUGAUUAUAUCGAUCAGUGGUGUAACCCUGGGAAUCGAGCCUUCCAUUAUGUCUGCGAGAGACUUGGAGUCCGUCAAAUCAUCACUGAGCCCAAAGCGAGGAUGCCAUGAUGAAAGCUGGCGUGACGCAUAGUAAAUCCAGCAGGGAUAUGGAGAGCCAUGUGUUCCUGAAGGCCAAGUCCUGGUCUCUCCUAGGGGUCUUUACCUAAGCCCCACAGAGCCCUGAGGCGUGGGCCAGAAGCAUCCCUGUCCCCUUUUGCGAAAUGAAGAAGGUGAUGCUUAUCUAGAAGAAUUCAAUCCCGGUGGAGUAGAGGAGAAGGGUUUCCACCACAUGAGCUCUCUCCCUGGGCCAGCACCACACUUGAGAGCCUGAUGUGACCACCUCCUUUCAUCUGUGAGUGCCCCUGGGACAGAACUGUUUUACUAGAAAUGAACAAAACACACAUGCACUUAUGUGCACGUGUGUGUGUGAGACAGAGCUGCAAGAGCACAGGGGCUGAGGUGGGUGGAGUAGGCUCUGUCUAUGCAUGCAUGUGAUAAGCUUUUUCUGUAAGAGCUUUAUCCAAUUCACCCUUUCAGGUUUACAUGUCAGUAGUCUCUAUGAUAUUCACAGAGUUGUGCAGCCAUCACCAAAAUCUAAGUUUUGAACUUUCAUUAAUAAAUAAAUGAAUAAACAGGUGCACCUUCACUGUGUUGCCCAGGCUGGUCUCAAACUGCUGGCCUCAUGCAAUCCUCUUGCCUAGGCCUCCCAAAGUGCUGGGGUCACAGGUGUGAGCCACCAAGCCCGGCCUAAUUUUAGAACUUAUUUUGUUUUUUGAGACAGUGUCUCUGUCACCCAGGGUGGAGUGCAGUGGCAUGAACCCAGGCCACUGCAGCCUCAACCUCCUGGGCUUAAGUGAUCCUCCUUCCUCAGCCUUCUGAGUAGCUGGGACUACUGGUGUGUGCCACCACACCGGGCUAUUUUUUUAUUUUUUAUAGGUACAGAGUCCCACUGUGUCACCCUGGUUGGUCUUAAAUUUCUAAUCUCAAGCUACCCUCCUGCCUCCCAAAGUGCUGAGAUUACAAGUGUGAGCCACCGUGCCCAGUUUGCUUUUUUUUUUUUUUAACUGAGUCUUGCUCUGUUGCCCAGGCUGGAGUGCAGUGGCACCAUCUUGGCUCACUGCAGCCUCUGCCUCCCAGGUUCAAGCAGUUGUCCUGCCUCAGCCUCCUGGGUAGCUGGGAUUACAGGUGCACUCCACCACAUCCGGCUAAUUUUUGUAUUUUUAGUGAAGAUAGGGUUUUACCAUGUUGGCCAGGCUGGUCUCAAACUCCUGACCUCAGGUGAUCUGCCCGCCUGAGCCUCCCAAAGUGUUGGGAUUACAGGCAUGAGCCACCACACCCGGCCCAGUCUGCAUUUUUUAAAGGAACUUUAUACCUGUUAGCAGUCACACGCUCUUCUUUCCUUCAACCCUCAGCCACCACUUAUACUUUGCACUGCCGUGGAUUUGCCUAUUCUGAAUUUUCCGUAUAAAUACAA